AGCUUGAAGGAGAUGUGUGGCUUGGUUUCAAGAUCAAAGUGAUGAAAGGAAGUGUUCAAGUGAAAAAAGAUUAUCAUGGUGAUUAACUAGAGAGGAAACGGGUGAUUGCCAAGCUAAUUUAAUUUGAAACGUAACUGGAUAAGUGGCGAAGUAAUAUCCUGCCAUUGUAAGAUAAUGAUUAGCAUAACGUGCAUUCAUCAACAUAUAUUGCCCACCACUUAUAGGUAAAGGCAUCUCAUAGCAACUUUUUUCAAGUCACUCUACUGCUAGAGGUCGAGUCAUUCAUAGUGUAUAUUGUUUGUAAAUAGUGUUAAUACAAAUGUACUUUUGGAGGUUAAAAACCUUGAUGUAUUUCUACAAUUAUGUGGAAUAAAAGUUAAGGCGAUUUAUAA